GUGCUUCUUCUUCUUCUUCUUCUUCUUCUUCUUCGA
rnacentral:sRNA from 1 species